GAAAUAUGAAAUUCAGAAAAAAGCUUCUAACUUAUUUUCUUAGCCGUGAAAAUCGGUUAAUAUUUCU
rnacentral:tRNA from 2 species